rnacentral:rRNA from 1 species
AACGUAGGAGACAAACGUUAUCCGGAGUUACUGGGCGUAAAGGGCGUGUAGGUGGUUUUGUAAGUCUGGCGUGAAAUAUCUCGGCUUAACCGAGGCAGGUCGUCGGAUACUGCAAGACUAGAGGACGGUAGAGGCGUGUGGAAUUCCGGGUGUAGUGGUGAAAUGCGUAGAGAUCCGGAGGAACACCAGUGGCGAAGGCGACACGCUGGGCCGUACCUGACGCUGAUGCGCGACAGCAUGGGGAGCAAACAGG